rnacentral:rRNA from 1 species
AGAGUUUGAUCCUGGCUCAGGACGAACGCUGGCGGCGUGCUUAACACAUGCAAGUCGAACGGAAAGGCCCUUCGGGGUACUCGAGUGGCGAACGGGUGAGUAACACGUGGGUGAUCUGCCCUGCACUCUGGGAUAAGCCUGGGAAACUGGGUCUAAUACCGGAUAGGACCGCAUGCUUCAUGGUGUGUGGUGCAAAGCUUUUGCGGUGUGGGAUGAGCCCGCGGCCUAUCAGCUUGUUGGUGGGGUAAUGGCCUACCAAGGUGACGACGGGUAGCCGGCCUGAGAGGGUGACCGGCCACACUGGGACUGAGAUACGGCCCAGACUCCUACGGGAGGCAGCAGUGGGGAAUAUUGCACAAUGGGCGCAAGCCUGAUGCAGCGACGCCGCGUGAGGGAUGACGGCCUUCGGGUUGUAAACCUCUUUCAGUAGGGACGAAGCGAAAGUGACGGUACCUACAGAAGAAGGACCGGCCAACUACGUGCCAGCAGCCGCGGUAAUACGUAGGGUCCGAGCGUUGUCCGGAAUUACUGGGCGUAAAGAGCUCGUAGGUGGUUUGUCGCGUUGUUCGUGAAAACUCACAGCUUAACUGUGGGCGUGCGGGCGAUACGGGCAGACUAGAGUACUGCAGGGGAGACUGGAAUUCCUGGUGUAGCGGUGGAAUGCGCAGAUAUCAGGAGGAACACCGGUGGCGAAGGCGGGUCUCUGGGCAGUAACUGACGCUGAGGAGCGAAAGCGUGGGUAGCGAACAGGAUUAGAUACCCUGGUAGUCCAA